rnacentral:piRNA from 1 species
GUAUAGGGAUUAAGAACUUGACU